rnacentral:rRNA from 1 species
GAUGAACGCUGGCGGCGUGCCUAAUACAUGCAAGUCGAGCGAACAGACGAGGAGCUUGCUCCUCUGACGUUAGCGGCGGACGGGUGAGUAACACGUGGAUAACCUACCUAUAAGACUGGGAUAACUUCGGGAAACCGGAGCUUAUACCGGAUAAUAUAUUGAACCGCAUGGUUCAAUAGUGAAAGACGGUUUUGCUGUCACUUAUAGAUGGAUCCGCGCCGCAUUAGCUAGUUGGUAAGGUAACGGCUUACCAAGGCAACGAUGCGUAGCCGACCUGAGAGGGUGAUCAGCCACACUGGAACUGAGACACGGUCCAGACUCCUACGGGAGGCAGCAGUAGGGAAUCUUCCGCAAUGGGCGAAAGCCUGACGGAGCAACGCCGCGUGAGUGAUGAAGGUCUUCGGAUCGUAAAACUCUGUUAUUAGGGAAGAACAAAUGUGUAAGUAACUAUGCACGUCUUGACGGUACCUAAUCAGAAAGCCACGGCUAACUACGUG